rnacentral:rRNA from 1 species
UAGUCCUACGGGGCGCAGCAGUGAGGAAUACUGGUCAAUGGGCUUACGCCUGAACCAGCCAAGUCGCGUGAGGGAAGACUGCCCUAUGGGUUGUAAACCUCUUUUGUCAGGGAGCAACGCCGGCUACGUGUAGCCGGACUGAGAGUACCUGAAGAAAAAGCAUCGGCUAACUCCGUGCCAGCAGCCGCGGUAAUACGGAGGAUGCGAGCGUUAUCCGGAUUUACUGGGUGUAAAGGGAGCGUAGACGGCCGUGCAAGUCUGAUGUGAAAACCCGGGGCUCAACCCCGGGACUGCAUUGGAAACUG